rnacentral:tRNA from 1 species
GUUUAUAUAGUUUAUAAAAACAUUACAUUUUCACUGUAAAGAUAAAGAACUAUUCUUUUAUAAAUA